rnacentral:rRNA from 1 species
CCUACGGGGGGCAGCAGUGGGGAAUAUUGCGCAAUGGGGGAAACCCUGACGCAGCAACGCCGCGUGAGUGAAGACGUAUCUCGGUAUGUAAAGCUCUAUCAGCGGGGAAGAAGGAAGACGGUACCCGACUAAGAAGCCCCGGCUAACUACGUGCCAGCAGCCGCGGUAAUACGUAGGGGGCGAGCGUUAUCCGGAUUUACUGGGUGUAAAGGGAGCGUAGACGGCGUCGGGAGUCUGAAGUGAAAGCCCGGGGCUCAACCGGGGAACCGCUUGGGAAACUGCGUGGCAGGAGUGCGAGAGAGGGAGGCGGAAUGCGUGGUGUAGCGGUGAAAGGCGUAGAGAUCGGGAGGAACACCGGUGGCGAAGGGGGAAGGCUGG